GCCUUCGUUGUGCAACUGUAGUGCACUCGGCUCGUAUUCGAGAGGUCCGAGGUUCGAGUCCCGGGAAGGGCA
rnacentral:tRNA from 1 species